UGCCAGCAGCCGCGGUAAUACGGAGGGUGCGAACGUUGUUCGGAAUCACUGGGCAUAAAGAGCACGUAGGUGGCCAGGUCAGUCCGUUGUGAAAGCCCCCGGCUCAACCGGGGAACUGCAUCGGAUACUGCCUGGCUCGAGGACGGCAGGGGUGAGUGGAACUCCUGGUGGAGCGGUGAAAUGCGUAGAUAUCAGGAGGAACACCAGUGGCGAAAGCGGCUCACUGGACCUUUUCUGACGCUGAGGCACGAAAGCUAGGGUAGCGAACGGGAUUAGAUA
rnacentral:rRNA from 1 species